rnacentral:SRP_RNA from 1 species
UCCUAGGAUCCGCACUAUUGAGUGUUGCCUAAUCCCGUCAGGACUGGAAGGUAGCAGCGGUAAGUGAUUACUCAAUGAGUGCGUGUAAUCUUAGGAUAA